rnacentral:rRNA from 1 species
GACGAACGCUGGCGGCGUGCCUAAUACAUGCGAGUCGAGCGCACGGACGAUAAGCUUGCUUCUCAGAUGAUAGCGGCGGACGGGCGAGUAACACGUGGAUAACCUACCUAUAUGACUGGGAUCACUUCGUGAAACCGGAGAUAAUACCGGAAUAUAUUAUGAUCUUCAUUAUUCAAUGGUGAAAGACGGUAUUGCUCUCACUUAUAGCUGGAUCCGCGCUCUAUUAUCUAGUUGGUAAGGUAACGGCUUACCAAGGAAACGAUGCAUAGCCGACCUGAGAGGGUGAUCGGCCACUGGGGAACUGAGACACGGCCCAGACUCCGACGGGGGGCAGGAAGAGGGAAUCUGGCGAAGGGGGCGAAAGCGUGACGGAGCAACGCGCGGGAGUGAUGAAGGUCUUCGGAUCGUAAGACUCGGUGAAUAGGGAAGAACAUAUGUGGAAUGAACUGUGCACAUCUUGACGGUACCUAAUCAGAAAGCGACGGCUAACUACGUG